rnacentral:rRNA from 1 species
GAUGAACGCUGGCGGCGUGCCUAAUACAUGCAAGUCGAGCGAAUGGAUUGAGAGCUUGCUCUUAUGAAGUUAGCGGCGGACGGGUGAGUAACACGUGGGUAACCUGCCCAUAAGACUGGGACAACUCCGGGAAACCGGGGCUAAUACCGGAUAACAUUUUGAACCGCAUGGUUCGAAAUUGAAAGGCGGCUUCGGCUGUCACUUAUGGAUGGACCCGCGUCGCAUUGGCUAGUUGGUGAGGUAACGGCUCACCAAGGCAACGAUGCGUAGCCGACGUGAGAGGGGGAUCGGCCACACUGGGACUGAGAAACGGCCCAGACUCCUACGGGAGGUAGCAGUAGGGAAUCGUCCGCAAUGGACGAAAGUCUGACGGAGCAACGCCGCGUGAGUGAUGAAGGCUUUCGGGUCGUAAAACUCUGUUGUUAGGGAAGAACAAGUGCUAGUUGAAUAAGCUGGCACCUUGACGGUACCUAACCAGAAAGCCACGGCUAACUACGUGCCAGCCGCCGCCGUAA